GACGAACGCUGGCGGCGUGCUUAACACAUGCAAGUCGAACGGAAAGGCCCAGCUUGCUGGGUGCUCGAGUGGCGAACAGGUGAGUAACACGUGGGUGAUCUGCCUCUAACUUCGGGAUAAGCUUGGGAAACUGGGUCUAAUACCGGAUAGGACAAUCGUCUAGUGUCGGUUGUGGAAAGUUUUUUCGGUUAGGGAUGAGCCCGCGGCCUAUCAGCUUGUUGGUGGGGUAAUGGCCUACCAAGGCGUCGACGGGUAGCCGGCCUGAGAGGGUGGACGGCCACAUUGGGACUGAGAUACGGCCCAGACUCCUACGGGAGGCAGCAGUGGGGAAUAUUGCACAAUGGGCGCAAGCCUGAUGCAGCGACGCCGCGUGGGGGAUGACGGCCUUCGGGUUGUAAACCUCUUUCGACAGGGACGAAGCUUUGGUGACGGUACCUGUAUAAGAAGCACCGGCUAACUACGUG
rnacentral:rRNA from 1 species